UACGGGAGGCAGCAGUAGGGAAUAUUGGGCAAUGGGCGAGAGCCUGACCCAGCCAUGCCGCGUGCAGGAAGAAGGCUUUCUGAGUCGUAAACUGCUUUUGAUAGGGAAGAAUAAGGUGUACGUGUACACUGAUGACGGUACCUACAGAAUAAGCACCGGCUAACUCCGUGCCAGCAGCCGCGGUAAUACGGAGGGUGCGAGCGUUGUCCGGAUUUAUUGGGUUUAAAGGGUGCGUAGGCGGCUCUUUAAGUCCGGGGUGAAAGCCCGUUGCUCAACAACGGAACUGCCCUGGAUACUGGGGAGCUUGAGUACAGACGAGGUUGGCGGAAUGGACCGAGUAGCGGUGAAAUGCAUAGAUACGGUCCAGAACCCCGAUUGCGAAGGCAGCUGACUAGGCUGUUACUGACGCUGAGGCACGACAGCGUGGGGA
rnacentral:rRNA from 1 species